rnacentral:misc_RNA from 1 species
GUAUUAAGUUUCGCCCACUAGAGGCUAACACAUUCUACAAGACAAUGUAUAUGGUUUGUGAUAAAGGGGCAAAGUGCAGUCCCAACAAAUCGAGUUAACGACUCGCGGCUCCCAUAACGGAGGACUACAACUUUGAAAAUGCACAGGUGUUGAGUGGAUUUGAGCGGGGCCGAGCACAUGCUUCAGUUACGAAGCCAGCAUCAAGCCCACUUCAAAACUCGAUAAUGAUCCUUCCGCAGGUUCACCUACGGAAA